GAGGAUGUAGCUCCAGUGGUAGAGUGUGUGCUUAGCAUGCACAAGGUCCUGGGUUCAAUUCUCAGUACCUCCU
rnacentral:tRNA from 1 species